rnacentral:rRNA from 1 species
AAGUUUGGACUAUGGGGGAAACCCUGAUCCAGCCAUCACGCGCGUAUGAUGAAGGCCUUCUUGUUGUAAAGUACUUUUUGCAGAGAAGAAAAGGUAUCUCCUAAUACUAGAUACUGCUGACGGUAUCUGCAGAAUAAGCACCGGCGAACUACGUUCCUGCAGCCGCGGUAAUACGUAGGGUGCAAGCGUUAAUCGGAAUUACUGGGCGUAAAGCGUGUGUAGGCGGUUCGGAAAGAAAGAUGUGAAAUCCCAGGGCUCAACCUUGGAACUGCAUUUUUAACUGCCGAGCUAGAGUAUGUCAGAGGGGGGUAGAAUUCCACGUGUAGCAGUGAAAUGCGUAGAUAUGUGGAGGAAUACCGAUGGCGAAGGCAGCCCCCUGGGAUAAUACUGACGCUCAGACACGAAAGCGUGGGGAGCAAACA